GAGGAGUCCCAUAUUUCCAGAUGAAAUGAGGCAGAACAAAUGAGAGAGGAUCCCUGGGCUCGUGCAGAGAACCAAGAGUGUACAUUACGAAGAGGUCCCUGUGAUGCCUGUGCAGGCUACCCAACAGCUUCAGAGACAGAGAAAACAAAUAAGUAGACCACCAUGGAGAAAGCACCUCUAGAGAUACACUAUCUAACUGCUUCAUACCUGUGAGGAUAAGUUGAGGCUUAGACUUUCUGUGUUCUGCAAAGAUAUUAUUGAAGAAUAUGAACUGAGCUUUAUCUGUCGAAAGACCAACAUCCAGAGGUGAUACUCCAAUACGGUGUGAAAGCUAGUAAAAGGUGCAACCAAAGCAGAAGUGGAAGCAGACCAACAGCUGAUACAGAUAACCUCAUAUGCAUUCAUUCUAGUGGGGCAGAGAAAAACAGACCCUGAAACAGAAG